UGACGAGUGGCGGACGGGUGAGUAAUGUCUGGGAAACUGCCCGAUGGCGGGGGAUAACUACUGGAAACGGUAGCUAAUACCGCAUAACGUCGCGAGACCAAGUGGGGGGACCUUCGGGCCUCACGCCAUCGGAUGUGCCCAGAUGGGAUUAGCUAGUAGGUGGGGUAAUGGCUCACCUAGGCGACGAUCCCUAGCUGGUCUGAGAGGAUGACCAGCCACACUGGAACUGAGACACGGUCCAG
rnacentral:rRNA from 1 species